AGGCAGCAGUGGGGAAUAUUGCACAAUGGGCGCAAGCCUGAUGCAGCCAUGCCGCGUGUAUGAAGAAGGCCUUCGGGUUGUAAAGUACUUUCAGCAGUGAGGAAGGUGGAUAUGUUAAUAGCAUAUUCAUUUGACGUUAGCUGCAGAAGAAGCACCGGCUAACUCCGUGCCAGCAGCGCGGUAAUACGGAGGGUGCGAGCGUUAAUCGGAAUUACUGGGCGUAAAGCGCAUGCAGGUGGUUUGUUAAGUCAGAUGUGAAAGCCCGGGGCUCAACCUCGGAAUUGCAUUUGAAACUGGCAAACUAGAGUACUGUAGAGGGGGUAGAAUUUCAGGUGUAGCGGUGAAAUGCGUAGAGAUCUGAAGGAAUACCGGUGGCGAAGGCGGCCCCCUGGACAGAUACUGACACUCAGAUGCGAAAGCGUGGGGAGCAAACAGGAUUAGAUACCCUGGUAG
rnacentral:rRNA from 1 species